UGGGGAAUAUUGGACAAUGGGGGAAACCCUGAUCCAGCCAUGCCGCGUGUGUGAAGAAGGUCUUCGGAUUGUAAAGCACUUUAAGUUGGGAGGAAGGGCUUACAGCUAAUAUCUGUGAGUUUUGACGUUACCAACAGAAUAAGCACCGGCUAACUCUGUGCCAGCAGCCGCGGUAAUACAGAGGGUGCAAGCGUUAAUCGGAAUUACUGGGCGUAAAGCGCGCGUAGGUGGUUUGGUAAGUUGAAUGUGAAAGCCCUGGGCUCAACCUGGGAACUGCAUCCAAAACUGCCUAACUAGAGUACGGUAGAGGGUGGUGGAAUUUCCUGUGUAGCGGUGAAAUGCGUAGAUAUAGGAAGGAACACCAGUGGCGAAGGCGACCACCUGGACCGAUACUGACGCUGAGGUGCGAAAGCGUGGGGAGCAAACAGG
rnacentral:rRNA from 1 species